AGGGUAAUGACUCAGUGGUAGAGUGCAUGCUUAGCGUGCACGAGGUCCUGGGUUCAAUCCCCAGCACCUCCA
rnacentral:tRNA from 1 species